ncrna:unclassified sequences c4-2 RNA
GCCCCUUUGGUAUGGUGGCGGUCGGCGAAAGCCCCACAGCGCUUAUGUUAGGCGUAGGACACCUAAACCAAACGGGCUU